rnacentral:rRNA from 1 species
UACGUAGGGUGCGAGCGUUGUCCGGAAUUAUUGGGGGUAAAGAGCUUGUAGGCGGUUUGUCGCGUCUGCUGUGAAAAUCCGGGGCUCAACCCCGGACUUGCAGUGGGUACGGGCAGACUAGAGUGUGGUAGGGGAGACUGGAAUUCCUGGUGUAGCGGUGAAAUGCGCAGAUAUCAGGAGGAACACCGAUGGCGAAGGCAGGUCUCUGGGCCACUACUGACGCUGAGAAGCGAAAGCGUGGGGAGCGAACCGG